rfam:Stenotrophomonas sp. LM091, complete genome.
GGAGUCGGCCAGACAGUCGCGUCAUCCCUUGCGGAUGCCGAGGAAAGUCCGGGCUCCACAGGGCAAGGUGCCAGGUAACGCCUGGGCGGCGCGAGCCGACGGAAAGUGCAACAGAAAGAUACCGCCUACGUUUCCUUCGGGAAGCCGGUAAGGGUGAAAUGGUGCGGUAAGAGCGCACCGCGAGUCUGGUAACAGACCGGCACGGCAAACCCCACCUGGAGCAAGACCAAAUAGGGACCUAAUGGCGUGGCCCGCGUCGGGUCCGGGUAGGUUGCUCGAGCGCUGCGGUGACGCAGCGCCUAGAAGAAUGACUGUCCACGACAAAACCCGGCUUAUCGGCCGGCUCCGCCG